GGGGAGAUUCAUCGUCAGCGGUGCAGGCUGCGCGAUGGCGUGCGAUGUCGCGGAUUACGGUCCGACGGCACGCGGUCGUCGUGUAUUGUCCGGCAACGUCGACGUGCACUUCUCCCCUUGUAGAACGUCGCGACCCGUUGGGUGUCGUUCUAAGGCUCGGAUGGAAGACUGUCUCGUCGCUUCGGCGCAUCGAGAUAGACCACCGAUCGCCAGUAACGGCUGCCCGGCGGUACACACAUGGUAUCGAGCCGCAUCAUAAUCGAUUGCGUCGGACCCGCCGCAAGCGCGGCCAGUGUUUUACCGGGAUUUCGGACCUAGCGCCGUCCCCGGUCCUGGCCAGCUGUUGGUUGGCGGUGUUCUCCGACUGGCCAAUAUACCGGUCAGCGACGCUACUGCUUUGGGUAAUCUCAGGACCCGUCUUGAAACACGGACCAAGGAGUCUAACAUGUACGCGAGUCAUUGGGCCCGCAUACCUAAAGGCAAAAUGAAAGUAAAGGUCGACC
rnacentral:rRNA from 1 species